UAUGAUUUUCAGUGACGUUCCUUAUCAAACAUGAAAGCUUUUUAUGUAAUAUUGAAUAGAAGUUGUCAAGAUUUAGUGGUGUAAUGUCAGGCAGAAUUAUGACAAAAAUCCUGUCCUGUUAAGGGGUUAAACUCAAGAAAAUGUAUUCAUACGUCAGUAGUGGUUCAGGGUGCCGGAAGUGGGUAUUAUUGCAGGGUCGCAUGAAACAGGCAUUAUAAAAGUGUUGCAUUUUAUAAAUAAAGGGAUGUCUGUGAGGGCAUUACAGUGCUGAAAAAAGGCUAAAAACUCUAAAGUAACAAACAUGCUGGAACAGAAACUGAGGAACUAAGCAGAUCAAUCAGUUUCAGAAUAAGUUUAAGGUCAGUAUUUAGACCCUUCUGACUUUCACGUAAGCUCUUGUACGGGAACAGGAAGACUCUUCUGACUGUGCCUAGCACCAUCACAGCAAAAUCUUCUGAGGUGGUUUGGGUUUCCUGGACAUACAAGUGCCAUGUGACUUCAAGAAGCUGCACAAAAAGAAACAAAAAGAAUAGCUAGUUAAAGAAAAGAGAAGUAAGAGGAAUACAACCAUUCAGCUUUUAGCUCUGGAGAGUCAUGGAGAAUAUGUGGAUGUUGGGAGCCGUGCUGGUUCUGGCUGUCUGUCUCACCUCAGGUUGGACCAUCUGUUUUUUUCUUUUCUUGCUGUUUCUUAUUUUAUUAAAUUAAUUGAUAUAUAAUUUAUUAUAUUAUAACUUAUUUUAAGUGCCUGACUAUCAGAAUGACCUGGAUAACCCAUGGCAAACUCCCACUGUCUGAGAUGAAUGUUAAGAAUUAGAAUAGCAGUAUGUGACUGGUUAAUACAUGUGUAUUAAUCUGUAACUAACACUCUAUUAACUCUCAACUCUCAGGAGAAGCGGUCAGAAUGUCUUACAAAACAACUUCUGAAAAUCUUGAAGGUUCCAGGAAUGAGAGUGUUGAAGUGGGCACCAACAUAACUUUACUCUGUACCAAUAAAAAGGUAGCAUGGGAUGAGAUGAUUUAUGUAAUCUGGAAAAUCUACUCACAAGAGAGGAACUGUACAAUCUCUAUGGCCUCAAAUGACGCUGCCUAUGAUGACUGUAAUGAUGGAAAGUGGAUCAGUGAAAGUGAAAACUACAGCCUGAUCUUCCCUCAUUUUUCAAUCCAAAAUGAAGGCCAUUACAUCUGUGACAUGUCUUACCAAGUCGGGGGCUAUAUGGAAUCAAUUCUUGUGUCUUCAUAUGACCGUCCGACACUGACUGGCUGGCUGGAAAAGGAUAAAGAUGGUCACACUUUUGCCGUCUGUAGAGCUCAGGGUAAACCAGCAGCUUCCAUUUACUGGAAAACCCCGUGGAACGUCUCCUCACCCAGAACAAACUCAUCUAUAAAUUUUACAGUGACGAGCCGUUUACAGCUGCCUCAUAAGGCAUCUCCCAUUGAAUUGACCUGCGUAGUCCCCUCCAGCUCCUGCAACAAGGAAGAGAUUCAAUUCAACACCUUCCAGGAUCGACAAACACCAGAUUUCUCUAUUGCAUGGCCUUUCAUUCUUCUGGGUGUCUGUGUGACAUGCAUCACCGUUACUUUUCUGACCGCUCUCUACAUCAUGCGAGAAAAAAUUGGACAGUUAAGUGUAUUCAGAAAGCUUUGCUGCACACCUCAAAUCCCAACACCUGCAAGAGAAGAAAAAACACCACAGGUAAGAUUAAUUACUUAUAACAAAUAAAAUUUCUCCUCUUCUCUGAUAUGAUGUAAAAGAAGUGUAUGAGGUGGAACAAACUGUUGAUGAUGUUGAAUCUUUUACUUCAGCCUCGUGAUCCUGAAGAAGUGGAGCCCUACGCCAGCUACGUGCAGAGGGUCAACUCCAUCUACAACUCAUCUGCUGAACUUUUCAAUGCCUGAUCUGUACACUCUCUCUCUCACACACAAAUUACAGAGUCUUACACAAUCUGAUGAAACUGCAGAUUAUGAUUGAUGACUAUACAGUGCAGAGUGGAGUAAGGUGUACAGAUAAAGAUGACGCAUGCAGCACUCACUGCUGCACACCUACUCUGUGGACAAAAAGUGUGUGUAAGUGUGUGUGUACACUAAUACGGCUGGAAACAAAAGACUAAUGAAACCCCUUCAAAAGAGCUUCCUCCAACAAACAGACGCUGAUGAGAGAAACGCAAACCAGAGUGAGUCAGUUCGAAAGGCAGAGUGGAAAGAGAAGGAUUUGCCUUCACUGCACAAUAUGAAGAAUCGUCCAGAGGGCUGGCUUAGACUCUAGAACUGAAGCGUGAAGAACCGUGCUACUACAAAGACAUUUAGACCUCAAAACCACAAACCUGAACAGAACUGAGCCAGACCUGACGUUAAAGAGCUUGGAAAGACUCUAGGAGGUUACCUGCUGAUCAUAUUUGCACUUACUGCUCAGGAGUGAAAGCAAAAAUGCUUUAUAUACAAUUUAACCAUUGUGUGUGUAUAUAUAUAUAUAUAUAUAUAUAUAUAUAUAUAUUCAGUUAGCAAGGUGUGGACAGUUUUAAAAAAUAAAGAUGCUUUAAAUGGUUCUUUAAGCA
ensembl:lncRNA